GCUGAUGCAGAUCCUGAGAUAUUCUGCUCUCCGAUCAGUGAUGCCUUAAUAGUAACAGCUAAAUCCUGUUUAAUGCCUCCUGACUUUGGAGUGGCAAGUACCAAACUUUCAGGAGAGUAAGGGAAGAAAAGGCAAUAUGAAUUACCCGUAUCAAGAUCAACCCACGGCUUCACAUAACCAACAUAAGGUGGAUCAACCAGGCAAUCAAACAAGAAAAUUGCCCUGUUUUUAGCAGAUUUAUACUUGUGGCGAUAAGCAUCAUUGAGUUUUACAAGAAAGCUAUAUCCAUUUGCAGGAAGUGGCACAUUUGUCAGGAUUUCUCUUGGAGCAUCAACAGACAUCAUCUCUGGCUGUGACACCGUAACUGUAGUUUGCAGUUUCAUAUUCGAACACUCAAAGAUAA
rnacentral:misc_RNA from 1 species